ACAGCAGCCGCCGCGGUAAUACGUAUGUCACAAGCGUUACCCGGAUUUAUUGGGCGUAAAGCGCGUCUAGGUGGUUAUGUAAGUCUGAUGUGAAAAUGCAGGGCUCAACUCUGUAUUGCGUUGGAAACUGUGUAACUAGAGUACUGGAGAGGUAAGCGGAACUACAAGUGUAGAGGUGAAAUUCGUAGAUAUUUGUAGGAAUGCCGAUGGGGAAGCCAGCUUACUGGACAGAUACUGACGCUAAAGCGCGAAAGCGUGGGUAGCAAACAGGAUUAGAUACCCCUGUAGUCCCUGUCUCUUAUACA
rnacentral:rRNA from 1 species